CCGUCAAUUCCUUUGAGUUUCAGCCUUGCGGCCGUACUUCCCAGGUGGCUCGCUUCACGGCUUCCCUACGGCACCGACAACGGUCGCACCGUGGCCGACACCUAGCGAGUAUCGUUCACGGCUGGGACUACCUGGGUAUCUAAUCCGGUUCGUGCCCCUAGCUUUCGUCCCUUGCCGUCAGGUCCGUUCUGGUGAGACGCCUUCGCCACUGGUGGUCCUUCAAGGAUUACAAGAUUUCACCCCUACCCCUGAAGUACCUCUCACCUCUCCCGGCCUCGAGCCAGACAGUAUCUCCUGAAAGCCUGACAGUUAAGCUGCCAGAUUUCUCAAGAGACUUAUCCGGCCGGCUACAGACCCUUUAGACCCAAUAAUAACGGUUACCACUCGAGCCGCCGGUGUUACCGCGGCGGCUGGCACCGGUCUUGCCCGGCCCUUGCUAUGAAAUGCUUUUUAGGCAUCUCGACAGCCAGAUUUGUAACCUGGCACUCGAGGUUCCCUUAUCGCUGUUGCCAGCAUUGUAAAGUUUUCGCGCCUGCUGCCUCCCGUAGGAGU
rnacentral:rRNA from 1 species